AAAAAAAAAAAAAGUGCAUCACUCCACUAAACAAGGCUCCCUUGCAUUCAAGGAGGACAAUUACCUGGCAAAUUGAUAGACCUCUCUUUCUCUAUUCAGCAGAACAAAUUCUGCUUGCUUUUCUGGAUCAAGUGACUAAGAAUACAGAACUUAGUGGGGAGGAAGAUACAUGCCUUGGUCAGUCCCUUUGGAGAGGAUAGUUUCAGCACAGAAAAGUUGUAUCAACCCACACAAACCAUCCCAGCUCAACAGACAGGAUCAGAUGUUUAACUGUAUCUCAUAACUCUGAAUCCUUUACUCUUACAAUAACAACAAAAAGUCCAGGGUUGUGGCAGCUGUGUGCUACCACAGCUACGUAGUUUGGAGCCAGAUAUUACAGGGAUAAAAAAAUCAAAUGAUAAUGGCAGAUGAAGAAAAUGUGGGUUGGGCAACCUCCUCCUUCAGUAGUGCUCGACAGCCCAAAAUUGACACCCCAGCAUCCUCUGAGAGAAGAAUUAAAAACAACACCACCACAAACACCCAGCUAGUAAAUGGAGAGACAAUGGCUAGCUCAAAAGCCUAUUUCUCAUUUUAUCAGAUAUGAAUUAUAGAUCAAACACAGCAGGCUGGAAAAGAAAUCAUUAAUUUUUCAGUUCUCCCACCACAGAUUUAGCUCUAUCCCACUAGCCUUUGUAACACGGUGCAAGAAAUACUUUUCGGCAAAAGGAAUUACCCAUGUGGAAUGACAUACAACUGAAAGUUUAAGCACGACAGUGUAACCAUUAAGCUUUUAAAGACAGCCAACCAAGCUUCGGCCCACCUACCUCCACCGCCCGCAGCUGGCAGCUUGAGGCCGGGCGGGAGCCCUGCUCCAACGCGGGCUGUGUGGGCUGGCAGCUGUGAGCAGCGUUACCCGCUGGUCCGAGCGCACCCGGAGCGGCCUACCGCUAGGGCACGCAACCGUCAGACGGAGCUAAGCAUGCAAAAUGCGAUCCCCGCUCGUGAGGAAAAAAAAUAAGAAAUAAAAAUUGAAAAGGAGCUGGUACAUAAUUAAAAGAAUCCCAAAUAACUUUGGAUACUAAGAAGGAGAGGAAAUGUUUUUCCAGAAGAAAAUACCUGCCCCCCCCAACGGCUUCAGAGUAGCUACAGAAGUUUUAAGCUGAACCUUUCCGUUUCAAAGCAUUUCUGUGACUGAUCUGAAUUUAAAUUAAAAUGAUACUUGUUUAUAUAAAUGUCCAGGCUUUCUGUAUUCCCAGCACCAUACUUAAGUCGCGUUGAUACAGAUAUUACAUUGGAUUAUUUCCCUGAAGACGUGAAAGAGAGCUAAUGUUAAUGCUAAUUUAGUUUAGAGAAUCCUGGGAGAGUAAGGCUUUGUCUGACUUUAUCUGUGAAAGCCCUUAUAUAUUUAAGCAGUUUCAAGUUUGUUUUGUUAGGCUCCAACUUAAACAUUAAUUUGUUCAUUUAAGACCAUUCUGCUAUUAAUUUGGUCUGAGUCUGUGCAGAGGUUUCCUGGAGAGCAGUCACUGCAGAGCAGCACACACGGACCUUCUUUUCAAGGCACUUACUGACUGGUCAGCUUCUAUGAGCUCUUCCCUUCAAAAAAUAAUGACAUCAUCUCAUAAGCAGCUUGACAAAAAUCUCUAUUUCUCAUAUUCCCAUCUUAAUACUGCUACCUUGCUCCACAGAACUUGCUAUCCAUUUGCCCGAAGGGCAACACUUCCAAAUUACAUGACUUCAUACAGGAUAAAAGAGCAUAAAAAAACGGUGCACACGUACACUGGAAAUAGCUGUUUGGGUGUUCAGCUUUAGAUCUAAAAUUCGAGGGUUCUUGAGUUCUGCACAUGGCUCCGCCGCCCCUUGGUACUGGAAGAUAUCAAAACACAGCAGUGUGUGCUUAUGAAAGAUAAUGAUUUCACAUCUGAAGACAACAAAUUCUGCACUUACAGGUUCACAAACAGAAAACCAUGGUAACCACUGCGAUAUCUGCGUUGCUGUACUGUUUAUUCCGGAAUAUCCAUCCUGAGAGAGUCAGGUACCCACUACUGUCUGUGUAACAGGCCAAGAGCUCAGAAGUUUAGCAACUUCGGAUAGUUUUGAAGCAAAUAUAGCUAAAUUACGUUAGUAAUUGCAGAAAGACAAUCAGAGACUAAGAAAUUGUCUUUCUGGAUAUUGAUUACUUGUUGAAGAUUAAUGCAGCACACGCUGUGUUGUAGUGUACUCACUGGAAUGAACAACAGCAGUCACCAAACAAGGAUCCCCAAAAGUGCCUUUCCUAAAGCAAAACAGGAUCCAGGCUGACCACAGUUUUCCAACCUAUGGCAUUCCUUGCAAAAGAAUACAGCAUUUCCACUAAAAACAGCAGCAUUACUAUUUCAGCCCCUGUGCCUCUUCCUUCCAACUUCAUUAGUGCUCCCUCUGCCAUACGAUAACUGAUGGCAGCUCGGCACAACUGGACGUUACUGCUGGCUCAACUCAAAGUUCAGUAAAUCAAUGUUCACUUUUGUAGCAUUUACACAAGUGUAACACUGAUUCAGCUUUUAAGAUGCUUCUCCCCAUUCCAGCAUGCAUCAGUUUCAUGCCUUUAACCAGUCUGUACCACUUCAUUCCAGACAUCUUCCACUGCAAGCUAAACAAAACCUCUGGUUUCCUUUUGUAGGUGUUAUUCUGGUGGUCCAUCACACAGCCCAUGAAAACAAGUACAGACAUCCUGGUGCCACAGGGUCCUGAAGUCGAUUUCAGCUAAGAAGCGUUCCCUAACAGAAUAAGUUGUUAACCAGAAAAGGAAGAAUAAACAUCUUUUCAGCAGCUGACAGACGUGGCAGCAGAGACAACUCAGUGCCAUCUGCAUGGCUUGGCAUGUACCCUGCAUGAAGCUGCUCCCCACCAGUUCCUGCAAAGCCUUGGUUUGGUGCGUGAAAAAAAUAAAUGUAAUAAUAAUAAAUAGGCUAAGGCUUCAAGCAGCAGAGCGUGGUUUAGAAAUAAAGUCCAUCAGAGUGCCAGCUGUGCGUGUCUGUGGCAUACCCCUGUGAUUACGCCUCAUUAUGACUUCUAAGCAAAGUUCAAGUCUCAUCCUCAGUAUUGGCUGAAUGAGUUCUCACUCACUGGUGCCCUGCCCCAGAAAAUGACCCACUCUGCCAUCCUGGUGAAGAACCCAGCACACAGCAGCACAACUCCCGUUACAUCAAAGUAGUUGCACCCAGGUCUUUGUUACAGACACCGCAUUGCUGCCAUGCUUCCAAGACGCUCAGCUGACUGCAUGCUACAGAAAAGUCUUAAUGUGGCCAUUAUCAGAAAUUUAUAGUCUACAGUAUUCAGCAAAAGACUGAAGAACUUUAUUUUCUUCAUUAUCAUGACUAAAAUAGGCCACAGGUGUUCCAUAAAACUUAGGCACCUACACAUGCAAGUAUUGCAGCUAAGCUAACAUGGAGAGGUUGCUAGCAAUAGAAACAACAGUAAGGAGCACAACUUAAACAAGUGAAGAGCACCGCUGGCUCCAGCACCAUCGUUCAUUGGGUGAAGUAAAGCUUUACAGCAGGAUGCUCACCAGCAACUAAGUUGCAAUCUCUACUAAUACUGCAGUUACACAACCUAAGUUGGAAAGCUGACAAGGCUCGGGUUCUGGGGAUGAACACACUAAUGCUUACAUCACAGCAGCCAGCGGUCCAAGGCAGAAGAACCCAGACUGGGCUGAAAUGGUUUACACUGUUAUCCUUAAUGAGCAUACAAAGGAAAAAAGGUUUUAGAAGAAACAAGCUCCAUGUGCUGCAGCUGAAUCACUCUGGAUUCUGGUAACGUUAAGCAGAACUGUUCUUCCUUCGUUAUGCCAUUUGAUUUGCUCCUGUAAGUAAAUUAACCUAGUUAUUAUAUAUAGCAUUAUUUAUACAUUCAUUUGCAAUGCUUAGAGUUAAUGCACAUUUGCUCCCCUACUGUGACAAACCAGACCACCUACACACACAGCUCUGUUUAUUAUUAGAGGAAUGCACGCUGGGAGCCGAGGGCCCACCACACACCCGCAGCACUCAGACACUUUUCCAGGCAAUGUUACGAUAGCUAAGUAGCUUAGUUCCCCCUCACAGAACCAGAAGGAAUACCACAGAGGUACAGUGAAUGCUAAAGAGUCAGCUGAGGAAAAAAAUAAAGAAGCAUCUCCCGUGGAACCUUCCCAAACUCACAUAUGAGCACCACUGAUCAACACCACCGUGACAUCACAGCGCACACCACGCAUCUCAAACACCCUUCAGGUGCUACUAUUUAGUGAAGUUGUUUGGACCACAGCUAAAAAUAAAGAUUACGCUGCUAAAACGCUAUCCCCGGCCUCAAAGAGCUUUCCCUCCAGCAGAAGGCCCUCACGGUGCGCGGCUGAGCCCACAGGCGGGCCUAGGGAGAACGCCGAGGUCGGAGCCAUUUCAGAGAGCUACUGAGAAACGUGUGCAGAGCCCAGAAAGCAUGUUGUUUCCUACGCAGUAAGCAGUUUUUAAAAUUAUUAUUCGCUUUUUCCACAUAUAUUAAUGCCCAUUAUUCAGUUCCACACGCUGAAUUUGGUCGAGUCCGUGACAUCCCACUGAGCUGAUCCACACCGAAAUCUGCUGCGAGGAUCCCAUCCGCCGGCCAGUUCCGUGUGCUUACACACGGAUAAGGUCCUCAACAGACAGAGCAGCCUCGGAGUUUAAUGAUACAAAUAAGAAACGAACAGAAACUCAAGUAAAUGGUCACCAGUAAAGUUCCCAUGCCGCGACCAGCAAGCAGCUCGUACAAGCAGCAGAGCUUGAAGCAGCGGCACGCAGUGCCUCCUCUGCUGCACCACUGAUCCACGUACCAACGGGAGCAGCGCACGCUGGCACCCAGGAAAGUGCAGUCUGCUCAGCCUUGAGUAACGGGUCACAACAAAACGAAAAACCCACCACGAAAAGACACUACCGGUACGCACGCUGCGUGCUUUGCUCUCAAACAAACACAGACAUCACUAAAACUGCUCAGGAUUCAAAAAACAACAGUAAAUCUGUGCGAAUCGGUCCAAGUAUUUCUGAAUGGACAGGACUUCAGAGACCGCCUGACAGCAGUUGCUCAAUUAAGAGUUAUUUUCAUCACAGACGCGGCUUGGCAGCAGCACAGAGCGUGUCUGGGACGGUCCCCGACACAGUACUAACACUCCGAGAUGCACAGGCCAAGUUACAAUAUGGAUAGAUCCUAAAAAUAUCUCAUUUUGCAUGUAAUUAUUCACUGCUAACAAAGUGCAGAAUUAAGUUUGAGAUUCGGUAACAGGCUACAGACAAACUCUUCCUCCGUACAGUGACAAAUUCUGGCAGGGAUAUCCCCGCCGACGUCCUGCUGCCGUGGAGCAGGGUGUUCCAGCCACGGCCGCGCUGCCAAAGGGCUGCACACCGGCACGCCGUUUGCAGCUGCAUGUUCAGAGCAUCACGUGAAAAGCGACAUGCAGCUCCCGAGACAACCUCAGCGAGCACCCAUCUCUCCAGGUACAGGAGAAGAAAAACACCGGCAUUAAGUUCCCUUUUUUCGAUUGUGAAACCACGUGAACAAAAUAAACGCAGCACGGCGUGAGCCAAGUUCGUGGCAGAAGGCAACUUGUGUGCCGUGUGUGUGCCCGCAAGGCCCCAGCCAUGAUGAGAAGCCCAGUGAUGAAGGACGGGUUUAUACGUGUACCAGUUCUUCGUGCUGAAACGGUGAGAUAUCCUGAAAGGAUUUAGCGGUCCCUUCACAUCAAAGGCAUUAAAGCCAGCAGUCAGCAAUCGCGUCACGCUAAGCCAAGAGCACUGCUCAGUGUCAAACGCCGUUCCAAUUUAAGAAACUGUUUGGCAAAACGACAUCUGCAUUUCGCUCUGAACGCUACGCUACGACACCCAUACCAGCGAGCAGCGUCUCGGAACACCGAGAAUUACAUGUCGGCAGAACUCAAAAAGGUUAAAAACGCGGACACACGCACACACCGCCACGGGGCCCUCGGCCCCUCCCGCCUCCCGCGCCCAGCGCGCAACCAGCGCCUGCCCCGCACGGCCCCGCACCAG